rnacentral:tRNA from 1 species
CAGGAAAUAGUUUAAUUAAAAUAUUAAUUUUGGAGAUUAAUGAUAAAGAUAAUCUUUUUUCCUGA